rfam:Loxodonta africana unplaced genomic scaffold scaffold_84, whole genome shotgun sequence.
GCAUUGGUGGUUCAGUAGUAGCAUUCUCGCCUUUCAUGCAGGAGACCUGGGUUCAAUUCCCAGCCAAGGCA